CGAUUGCAUUGCAUAUACU
rnacentral:snRNA from 1 species